GUGUCUCCUUUUUGACACUUAUUUAGCAUUCAACAGAAAGUGGGGAUUGAAAGAAAGGUAUAUGGAAACAGAAGAGAAGAUACUGUUAUAACCAGGAUCCGUAUAGGACACUCUAACCUUAAUUAUUCAUUGUAUAUAAUAGGAAAAAGUGAGUCAGAUAGCUGCAGUUACUGUGGAAUAACAGAAACAGUUGAACAUGUGCUUUUACAUUGUGAGGCAUAUAAUAGACAAA